rnacentral:lncRNA from 1 species
UGGCUUGCUGGAGAUAUCAGCCGAUUUCAUGGCUAUAUCUUGACUUUGUUGUAUAGAGGACGUAGAUCAUCGAUGAAAGCUUUGAUGUAGGGUUUAUAUAAGAACAGAAAGAAAGGGAGGUAGAAAGCUUCGAUGAAUGAAGGUCUCUUAUUAAGAAAGGUUUAAAGAACAUAAUUGAAUGUGAGUAAGUAACAGAAACGUUGGAUUGCAGAAAUCAGAAACGAUGAUCGUGAAGUUGAAGAGGCGGAGACGACUUAUUUGGAAGGAAGUUUGGGCUAGUUAAAGAUGGACCAUGUCUUUUUAAUAUUGCUUCACCUGAAUUAGCCCGUUAAAACCAGUUUCGAGUAACAAAGAAAUGACGUUGCUUCAAAAUCCUGGACCGUAAGUGAUUCCUAGUUUGAGAGUGGAGCACGAUUAGAUGAGAGAUGAAACCUUGUAUGACAGUGUCCUGUUCAAAAAGAAACCAGUGGAGUGGUUACGAAAUUGGUAAAGAAAUGAUGGCUUGCUGGAGAUAUCAGCCGAUUUCAUGGCUAUAUCUUGACUUUGUUGUAUAGAGGACGUAGAUCAUCGAUGAAAGCUUUGAUGUAGGGUUUAUAUAAGAACAUAAAGAAAGGGAGGUAGAAAGCUUCGAUGAAUGAAAGGUCUCUUAUUAAGAAAGGUUUAAAGAACAUAAUUGAAUGUGAGUAAGUAACAGAAACGUUGGAUUGCAGAAAUCAGAAACGAUGAUCGUGAAGUUGAAGAGGCGGAGACGACUUAUUUGAAAGGAAGUUUGGGCUAGUUAAAGAUGAGCCAUGUCUUUUUAAUAUUGCUUCACCUGAAUUGGCCCGUUAAAACCAGUUUCGAGUAACAAAGAAAUGACGUGGCGAUUUGGAAGUUUUUGAUAGGUUGUUUUUUCUAUCCGACGUGGAGGGCUUUAUAGGGCUUUAUAUUGUGCUUUUAGUAUAGUUAG